rnacentral:rRNA from 1 species
GACGAACGCUGGCGGCGUGCUUAACACAUGCAAGUCGAACGCUGAGGCUCAGCUUUUGUUGGGUGGAUGAGUGGCGAACGGGUGAGUAACACGUGAGUAACCUGCCCCCUUCUUUGGGAUAACGCCCGGAAACGGGUGCUAAUACUGGAUAUUCACUGGUCUUCGCGUGGGGGUUGGUGGAAAGGGUUUUUCUGGUGGGGGAUGGGCUCGCGGCCUAUCAGCUUGUUGGUGGGGUGAUGGCCUACCAAGGCUUUGACGGGUAGCCGGCCUGAGAGGGUGACCGGUCACAUUGGGACUGAGAUACGGCCCAGACUCCUACGGGAGGCAGCAGUGGGGAAUAUUGCACAAUGGGCGCAAGCCUGAUGCAGCGACGCCGCGUGAGGGAUGGAGGCCUUCGGGUUGUGAACCUCUUUCGCUCAUGGUCAAGCCGCAACAAUGGUUGUGGUGAGGGUAGUGGGUAAAGAAGCGCCGGCUAACUACGUG